rnacentral:rRNA from 1 species
AUUGAACGCUGGCGGCAGGCUUAACACAUGCAAGUCGAGCGAGCGGCGGACGGGUGAGUAAUGUAUGGGAAACUGCCUGAUGGAUGGGGAUAACUACUGGAAACGGUAGCUAAUACCGCAUACCAUCAGAUGUGCCCAGAUGGGCUUGGCUAGUAGGGGGGGUAAUGGCUCACCUAGGCGAAGAUCCAUAGCUGGUCUGAGAGGAUGACCAGCCACACGUGAACUGAGACACGGUCCAGACUCCUACGGGAGGCAGCAGUGGGGAAUAUUGCACAAUGGGCGCAAGCCGGAUGCAGCCAUGCCGCGUGUGUGAAGAAGGCCUUCGGGUUGUAAAGCACUUUCAGCGAGGAGGCGUUACUCGCAGAAGAAGCACCGGCUAACUCCGUGCCAGCAGCCGCGGUAAUUC